AUUGAACGCUGGCGGCAUGCCUUACACAUGCAAGUCGAACGGCAGCAUGAUCUAGCUUGCUAGAUUGAUGGCGAGUGGCGAACGGGUGAGUAAUACAUCGGAACGUGCCCUGUAGUGGGGGAUAACUAGUCGAAAGAUUAGCUAAUACCGCAUACGACCUGAGGGUGAAAGUGGGGGACCGCAAGGCCUCAUGCUAUAGGAGCGGCCGAUGUCUGAUUAGCUAGUUGGUGAGGUAAAGGCUCACCAAGGCGGCGAUCAGUAGCUGGUCUGAGAGGACGAUCAGCCACACUGGGACUGAGACACGGCCCAGACUCCUACGGGAGGCAGCAGUGGGGAAUUUUGGACAAUGGGGGCAACCCUGAUCCAGCAAUGCCGCGUGUGUGAAGAAGGCCUUCGGGUUAUAAAGCACUUUUGUCCCGGAAAGAAAUCGCACUUA
rnacentral:rRNA from 1 species